rnacentral:lncRNA from 10 species
AUGUUCCUAAGGCCUGGAGACUUCCAUGGCUCCCUGCAAGUCUGUGGAAAAUUUCCGGUGUAUGGAGAAAUGCCCCUGCAAUGUGGAGAUAGCAUUUUGGGAUACUUCUGGUAUACCAUAAGCCUGGCUGUUGAUCCGGACAAAACAGAAGACAUGACAUUUGUGAGAACUACCACAUUUAGAAGAGGCAGCACUCCUCCAGGAUUCACCUCCAAAUUUUUUCGAAUGCUUCCUGUGGAAAAGUCUUGUCAAGGAUGGUCUUAUUUUUUUAAUUGUGAAUUAUUUUCUCACUGGUUAUUGCCAAACUAAAAAUCUUGGGAAUUUCAUUUUGGCCUUUUACUGUGGGGCACUCAUUGCCAGAGGAAAACAUUUCAGACAAACCACAUUUAAUAAUGUGUGUUCCAACCCUCCAAAUUUCUGGUGUGCCAGCUCUGUUGGACCCUACUAGGCUUUGGGAAAUGUCUUUGCCUUCACUGGGAAUGGCAUCAGGAGGGCUCCCGGAGAGCUCUUUGCUGAAGCCCUGCAGGGUUGUAAAAUGAUACUUCCCCGCAUCUCAUGUGUACACAUAAGAGUAAAGUAAAAAUCAACCUCAUAUUCAGCCUUAUGGGAAAAGAAGUGAAAUACGUAGCAGGGAAAGGUGAACCAGGGUUUUCAGUGGAGGGGGGCAGGGCUUCCCACCUUCACUUAGGAAUGCUAUUCGUUGAUAUUUAUUGCUUCCUUACGCAUUGACACACAUUGUUCCAAGUACCCUUGAAUGCAUCAACACAUUUAAUCUUCAUAGUAACUCAUAAGGCCAGUGCUUUUGUUCUUUUCAGUAGGCAAAUGAGGGAACUCAGACACAGAAACGGGAAGUGACAUUCUAAGGAAAUGUAGCCAGGAAGGGGCAAAGCUGGAAUUCAAACCCAGGCAGGCUGGGUCCAGCUCAGGCUUUUACCCUCUGAGCUACACAACCCCUUCAGGAGCAGGAGGAACCAGGGCUGAGGGACCAGCUCAUGACCAUCUAAGUUUCCUGAAGCUUGGUGGGCUAGGGAGACCUUAGUUCUUCCUUUCUACACCUCUGGUCAGCUGAACAAGGGAAUGUGCAAAGCACUAUCAACUAGUAAAGAUUUCAAGAAUUCUUAAUUUGCAAGAAGGUGGCCAGGAAAAUGUGAGAGUUGUUUCCUAUGUCUGUUUUGUUUUCCCUGCUCCAAAUCCCAGCUCUUCUCAUUUCUCCGUGUGGUCACAAACAUUAGUCUAAUCAAACAUAUUUAAGGACAUCUAUAAUACCUAAGUAGAUGUAUACACACACACACACACACACACACACACAUACACACAGCAAAAGAGAAAUUCAAAGUGUAUUCAAUAGUUUCAAAGGUAGUCAUUUACCCUAUUUUAAUAGAAUUGGCUUCAGAAUUGAAAAGAAACUUAAAAUUCCUUUUGUACAAUAGGUCUCAACUAGAGGCAAUAGCUCCCCGCAAAGGGUUCUCUCGAGGGCUCUGGGUUUUUACAAUGGCUGAGGGUGGAGUAUCGUGCUACUCAUAUUUAGGGAGGCCAGGACUAAUACAUAUAAUGCAACAUGAGGGACAGUCCCUCACAACAGCAACUUUUUUGGCCUCAAUUGCUAGUGGUACUCCCUUAAUAAACACCAACUGAGGUUCAACACUUUUAUUUUACAGUUGAGAAAAUUAGUCGUAGAACGAUAAAGAAUCUUUCUUAAGGUCUCGUAGCUAGUUAAUAGCACAGCCUGAAGCUGAAUCUAGUUUUAUACGUCUCUAGGAAAGAACCGUGUUGUUGUUGUUGCUGUUGUUUUUUCCUAGAGAAGGCUCUGUGGACCAGAGAGUCCAUAGAGGUCAAAACUAUUUACAUAAUAACACCAGGACAUUAUUUGCUUGUAUCAAUAUCGUUUCUCUCACCGAGUGUACAACAGUUUUCCAGAAGCCACAUAAUAUGUGAUUAUAUUGUUUAAUGAAAUAUGUCAACAUUUAGAAGGUCUGAUGACAAAUAGUCUCCAAAUAACAAAUAUAUCAUGUUACAGAAUUAUACUUGGGUAAAAGAUCCAUUCAAAGUACAAGACAAAUGGUUUUUAAUAUAACUAAAUACAAAGAGUUUACUAAAAGAUUUAAGAUUUUCCCUUGUAAGUAACAUUGAAGAAACUACCAUUCGUUACGUUUUGGCGUAGUGUCGAAGAAUAGGCACAAUGAUCUGAACAGAUGAUUAAAAUAUGUUUUCCUUUUUCAACUACAAAUUUGUGUGAAGUCAAGUGUUUUUCACAUACUUCAACCAAAACGACAUAAUGCAAUGGAUUGAGUGCAAAGCAGAUAGGGGAAUCCAGGUGUCUUUUUCUUUUUUUUCUUUUUUUUUUUUUUGUGAUGGAGUCUUACUCUGUCGCACAGGCUGGAGUGCAGUGGCAUGAUCUCAGCUCACUGCAACAUCCGCCUCCUGGGUUCAAGCAAUUCUCCUGCCUCAGUCUCCCGAGUAGCUGGGCCUGCAAGCAUGCACCACCAUGCCUGGCUAAUUUUUUGUAUUUUUAGUAGGGACAAGGUUUCACCAUGCUGGCCAGGCUGGUCUCAAACUCCUGACCUCAUGAUCUGCUCACCUCAGCCUCCCAAGGUGCUGGGAUUACAGGCAUGAGCCACGGCGCCUGCCCCCCAGAUGUUUUAUAUUAAGUCAGACACUGAUGAGAUUUACAAAAAUGUAAAGCAAUGC